GGCCUGAUGGUCUAGUAGCAUGAUUCCUCGUUUGGGUAUUUCUUUCAUCAGACAACUAAUUCGAGGAGGUCCGGGGUUCAACUCCCCGUCAGGCCC